rnacentral:rRNA from 1 species
GACGAACGCUGGCGGCGUGCUUAACACAUGCAAGUCGAACGGAAAGGCCCUGCUUUUGUGGGGUGCUCGAGUGGCGAACGGGUGAGUAACACGUGAGUAACCUGCCCUUGACUUUGGGAUAACUUCAGGAAACUGGGGCUAAUACCGGAUAGGAGCUCCUGCUGCAUGGUGGGGGUUGGAAAGUUUCGGCGGUUGGGGAUGGACUCGCGGCUUAUGAGCUUGUUGGUGGGGUAGUGGCUUACCAAGGCUUUGACGGGUAGCCGGCCUGUGAGGGUGACCGGCGACAAUGGGACUGAGAUACGGCGCAGACGCCUACGGGAGGCAGCAGUGGGGAAUAUUGCACAAUGGGCGGAAGCCUGAUGCAGAAACGCCGCGUGCGGGAUGACGGCCUUCGGGUUGUAAACCGCUUUCGCCUGUGACGAAGCGUGAGUGACGGUAAUGGGUAAAGAAGCACCGGCUAACUACGUG